rfam:Pteropus alecto contig91576, whole genome shotgun sequence.
GGUUCCAUAGCGUAGUGGUUAGCACGUCUGCUUUACAUGGAGAAGGUCCUAGGUUCACGCCCCAGUGGAGCCA